rnacentral:rRNA from 1 species
GACGAACGCUGGCGGCGUGCUUAACACAUGCAAGUCGAGCGAGGCCCCUCCUUCGGGAGGGUGUCCUAGCGGCGAACGGGUGAGUAACACGUGGGCAACCUGCCCUCAGCUCUGGGAUAACUCCGGGAAACCGGGGCUAAUACCGGAUACGAACUCCACGGGCAUCUGCGGAGGUGGAGAGUUUUUCGGCCGAGGAUGGGCCCGCGGCCUACCAGCUAGUUGGUGGGGUAGUGGCCCACCAAGGGGACGACGGGUAGCCGGCCGGGGAGGGCGACCGGCCACACUGGGACUGCGACACGGCCCAGACUCCUACGGGAGGCAGCAGUGGGGAAUAUUGCGCAAUGGGCGCAAGCCUGACGCAGCGACGCCGCGUGAGGGACGAAGGCCUUCGGGUUGUAAACCUCUUUCAGCAGGGACGAAGCGAAAGUGACGGUACCUGCAGAAGAAGCACCGGCCAACUACGUG